rnacentral:tRNA from 1 species
AAGGAUUUAAGUUAAAUAAACUAUUAGCCUUCAAAGUUGAAAAUAUGAGAUUUAUAAGCCUUA